GCUGGGGCUCAGUGGUAGAGUGCUUGCGUAACAUGCAUGAGAACCUGGGUUCCAUCCCCAGCACUGUA
rnacentral:tRNA from 1 species